CCUACGGGAGGCAGCAGUGAGGAAUAUUGCGCAAUGGAGGCAACUCUGACGCAGCCAUGCCGCGUGCAGGAAGACGGCCCUACGGGUUGUAAACUGCUUUUAUCCGGGAAGAAACCCCAGGACGUGUCCUGGGUUGACGGUACCCGGAGGAAUAAGCACCGGCUAACUCCGUGC
rnacentral:rRNA from 1 species